AACGAACGCUGGCGGCAUGCCUAACACAUGCAAGUCGAACGAGACCUUCGGGUCUAGUGGCGCACGGGUGCGUAACGCGUGGGAACCUGCCCUUAGGUUCGGAAUAACUCCCCGAAAGGGGUGCUAAUACCGGAUAAUCUCUUCGGACCAAAGAUUUAUCGCCUUUGGAUGGGCCCGCGUUGGAUUAGCUAGUUGGUAGGGUAAAAGCCUACCAAGGCGACGAUCCAUAGCUGGUCUGAGAGGAUGAUCAGCCACACUGGGACUGAGACACGGCCCAGACUCCUACGGGAGGCAGCAGUGGGGAAUAUUGGACAAUGGGCGAAAGCCUGAUACAGCAAUGCCGCGUGAGUGAUGAAGGCCUUAGGGUUGUAAAGCUCUUUUACCCGGGAUGAUAAUGACAGUACCGGGAGAAGAAGCUCCGGCUAACUCCGUG
rnacentral:rRNA from 1 species